rnacentral:rRNA from 1 species
GAUGAACGCUGGCGGCGUGCCUAAUACAUGCAAGUCGAGCGAACGGACGAGAAGCUUGCUUCUCUGAUGUUAGCGGCGGACGGGUGAGUAACACGUGGAUAACCUACCUAUAAGACUGGGAUAACUUCGGGAAACCGGAGCUAAUACCGGAUAAUAUUUUGAACCGCAUGGUUCAAAAGUGAAAGACGGUCUUGCUGUCACUUAUAGAUGGAUCCGCGCUGCAUUAGCUAGUUGGUAGGGUAACGGCUUACCAAGGCAACGAUGCAUAGCCGACCUGAGAGGGUGAUCGGCCACACUGGAACUGAGACACGGCCCAGACUCCUACGGGAGGCAGCAGUAGGGAAUCUUCCGCAAUGGGCGAAAGCCUGACGGAGCAACGCCGCGUGAGUGAUGAAGGUCUUCGGAUCGUAAAACUCUGUUAUUAGGGAAGAACAUAUGUGUAAGUAACUGUGCACAUCUUGACGGUACCUAAUCAGAAAGCCACGGCUAACUACGUG